rnacentral:rRNA from 1 species
AGUUUGUGAAGUGAAACAUCUAAGUAACAAGAUAAGAAGGAAUCAAAAGAGAGAUUAUAAGUAGUGGUGAGCGAAAGUAAAGAAAGAUUAACAAAAAUGAGAUAGUAAUGCGAAGAAAUAAAGCGUGAAGUAAAGAAGACCAUUUUAAGUUAAGAAGUAAUUAUAAUGACCGAUAGUGAAGAAGUACUGUAAGGGAAAUGUUAGGAAAUCCAAAUGUAAGUAGCAACUAAACAAUAAAGAAUUGGUUAGUGUACCUUUUGCAUAAUGGACUUGCAAGUUUAUAAUAAUUGUUAGUGUUAAACAAGGGAAUGGGAGACAUAAUGAAGAUAAAUAUAAAAAAUGUAAAAAUGAUUGUUAUAAGACUCGAAAUCCGACGAGCUAACCAUGUCCAGGUUAUUAAUAGGACCGAACUAGUGCUUGUUGCAAAAAGCUUGGAAGAGGUGUGGUUAGGAGUGAAAGGCUAAACAAGUCGGAAGAUAGCUAGUUUUUCGCGAAAUAUAUUUAAGUAUAGGGUAUAAAAUAGUAUGUGGGGGUAGAGAACGUAAUUGCAAAAAUGUGAUUGGGAACAACGAAUACCAGAAUUUAUAUACUCGGACAAUUGGUGAUAAAAUUAAUUGUCGAGAGGGAAACAGCCCAGAUUAAAUGUUAAGGUCCCAAAGAACAAUAAAUAAGUAAAAGAUGAUUAUUAUUUGAAAACGAAUAAGAGGUAGGCUUGGAAGCAGCCAUCCUAUUAUAAAAGAGUAAAAGCAUGUUAUGAAGAAGGAUAAUAGUAUCUAAAAUCUAAAGGGAAUGAGGAUUGUCACCGAAACAGUAACUUUAUUUUAUUUUAUUUUUAUUUUAUUGAUUAAAUAGGAUAAAGGGUAGCGAAACAACCUAAGAGUGUAGAAAAAGAUUGUAAGAGGAGAAAGGAAAACGAUUAGGAGAGAAAAUGCAAGUAUGAGUAAUAAAAAGAAACAUAAAGAAUAGUUUUGAUCGAAAGCACAAGUGUUCCAAUAAGGAAAAAUAAUGAAUAAAAUGUGGUAGAGACGAUAUCUAAGGAGAAUCUGAAAAGAGUAUUUGAUGAAGAAAGAAGUUAAAUGUGAACUAGAAAUAGUCAGGAAAAGCAUUUAAUAGUAAAAAAAUAUCGUAAUAAAACCGACACAGGUGUGUUGUCAUAAGAGUGAUAAGAUAAUUAGGUUAACAUUGUUAAGGAACUCGGCAAAUUAACAUCGUAACUUAGGGAGAAGAUGGUCCUUAUUAAAUAUAGUGAUAGGAUGCAAGUAAUGGAGAAUAGCGACUGUUUAAUAAAAACACAGGUCUAUGUAAAAUAGUAAUAUAAGAAAAAUGGACUGACCUUUGUCCGGUGUCUGAAACUGAAGAAAGGAGUAUAUAAGUUAUUUCUUUUAAGGCCAGGCAAACGACAGCAGUAACUAUGACUGUUCUAAGGUAGCGAAAUGCCUUGGCCGAUAAAUACGGUCUCGCAUGAAGAAGGUAACGACUUUUCUACUGUCUCAACAAUGUACUAAACGAAUUUGGCUUUUCCGUGAAGAUACGGGAUACAAGUUCUAAGACGAGAAGACCCUAUGCACCUUGACUAGAUUUUAAUAUUGUGGAAUGAUAAACAUAUGUAGAAUAUAUGGGAGUUAUAAAUUUUUAUAAUAGAAAAGUGAAAUACCAUGGGUGUUUUUAAAAGGAAACUGAAUCAGAAAUGAGAAAGUGUUAGAUUGCUAGUUUGUCUGGGGCGGACGCUUCCUAAAGGGUAACGGGAGUGUGCAAAGGCAUAAGAAAGUAUAAUAAUAAGAAUAUGCUUGACUGUGAGAGAGACAUUUCGAACAGGUAUGAUUAUAUAUAUAAUUGUAGGGUAUAAUGACCCGGUGGCACUGAAUGGAAAGGCCAUCGUUCAACGAAUAAAAGGUACGCUAGGGAUAACAGGUUGAUAGUGCUUAAGAGUUCAUAUCGAUGGCACUGUUUAACACCUCGAUGUCGAAUCUUCGCAUCCUAGUGGUGUAGCAAUUACUAAGGGUUUGACUGUUCGUCGAUUAAUAGCGGAACGUGAUUUGGGUUUAAAACGUCGUGAGACAGUUUUGUUUCUAUCUAGAACAUUGAUAAGAAGAGUAAACAAAGAGUAGGGGAUCUUAGUACGAAAGGACCGGAGACUGUUAAUCAAUUGUGUAUCUGCUGUUAUAUGUAAAGUAGUAGUAGUAGUAGCAUAGCAGAGUAGCAAAAUUAAAAAGAGAGUACUGUUGAAAGCAGCUAAACAGGAAACAGAACUUGAUGUUUAUAUAAAUUAAAGAAGAUAAUUUU